AGGCAGCAGUGGGGAUUAAUGCACCAUGGGCGCCAGCCUGAUGCAAGCAUGACGGUUGUAUUAGUACGGCGUUCUGGUUGUAAAGUUCUUUCAGCGAGGAGGAAGGUGUUGAGGUUAAUAACCUCAGCAAGUGACGUUAGGCGCAGAAGCAGCUCUGGCAAAAUCCGUGCCAGCAGCCGUAGUAAUAGGUAGGGCGCGAGCGUCGAUUGAAAUUACUUGGCGUACAGCGCAUGCGGGCGGUCGUUCAAGUAUGAUGUGAAAUACCCUGGCUCUGCCUGGGAACUGCAGUCGAAAUUGCCAGUCAAGUGUGUAGUAGAGGCGGGUAGAGCUCCACGUGCAGCUGUGAAAUGUGUAGAGAUCUGGAGGAAUACCGGUGGCGUAGGCGGCGCCCCGCACAAAGUCUGACGUUAAGGUCAGUAAGCGUGCAGAGCAAACAGGAUGAGAUACCGUUGUAGUCCACGCUGUAAGCGAUGUAGACUUAGAGGUUGAGCCCUAGAGGCGUGGACAAGAGAGCUAACGCGCUAAGUCGACUGCAUUGGGAGUACGGCCGCAAGGGUAAUACUCUAAUGAAUUGCAGAGGGCCCGCACGAGCGGUGGAGCCUGUGGUUUAAUUCGAUGCAACGAGAAGAACCUUACCUACUGUUGACAUCCAGAGAACUUUCCGGAGAUGUUUUGGUGGGUUCGGGAACUUUGAGACAGAUUAACCAUGGCACUUUUCAGCUCGUGUUAAGAAAUGUUGGGUUAAGUCCCGCUAUUAGCGCAACCGUAUCCUUGGUUGCCAGCGGUGCGCCCGGGGAAUCAAAGGAGACUGCCAGUGAUAAACUGGAUGAAGGUGGGGAUGAAGUCAAGUCAUCAUGGGCCUUACGAGUAGGGCUACACACGAUCGACAAUGGCGCAUACAAAGAGAAGCGACCUCGCGAGAGCAAGCGGACCUCAUAAAGUGGGUAGUAGUCCGGAUUUGAGUCCGCAACUUGACUCCAUGAAGUCCGAAUCGAUAGUCCUCUUUCUUCAGAAUGCUCCGGUGAUUACGUUCCCGGGCCGUGUACACACCGGCCGUCGCACCAUGGGAGUGGG
rnacentral:rRNA from 1 species